rnacentral:rRNA from 1 species
UGAAACCGUUUAGGGGUAAACCUGAGAAAUCCGAAAAGUCGAAGGGAGAAAUUCAUUCGCGUUUCGAGACCGGCUUCGAACGGAAAAAAUAAGCGACGGCUCGGAUUCCGAUCCGAGCCGCGCGUUCCGUUCGACGAUCCGGUCGCGAACGCGUGCACUUUUCUCCCGAAUAGUACGUCGCGAUCCGUCGGGCGUCGGUCUACGGUUCCGGGCGGAGACCGUCGAUCGCGCGCGUUAAUACGCGCGUCCGAUCGACGGACCCCGGUCUCCCGGCCGACUCGCUCGACGGUAUAACGAAUGGUUCGGGGCCGCUCUCAAAAAAAAUUUUUUUGUCGAGCGUCCGAUUGCGCGACAAGCGCGCCGGUUUUGCGUCGGUAAUUUCGGACCUAGCGCCGAUUCCGACCUCCGGCGACUGUUGGUCGCGCCGUUCUCGGACAGCGUCCCGUGUCGUCGAAAGACGAUAAAUAAAACCGAUCGGCGACGCUAUAGUUUCGGAUAAUUUCAGGACCCGUCUUGAAACACGGACCAAGGAGUCUAGCGUGCGCGCGAGUCAUUGGGAUUCGUUUCGAAACCUAAAGGCGCAAUGAAAGUGAACGUCUUCCUUUUUAAUAAGAGGUCGACGAAGGGAAGACGGGCGGUUCGUCGUCAAAAACGG